CGAGAAGGUCCCUGGUCUGGAGGCCUGCUCCCUGACGGUGUACACCACCUGCCUCCAGCAGCUCUUCCAAGACUCUCAGAAUGACAGGCCAGCAAGCUUCGUAGCUGCCCAGCCUCGAGACUAAAGAAAGAGACCAGAGACAACACAGAGACAUCAGUGGUUCACUGGACAGAGGAUCUUACACAGGGGUCCUGGAGGGACACCCCACCAGGGCAAAUGACUUGAGUAGACAGUUUGGCAAAGAAGAAAUACAGCGAACAAGCCAAUGAAAAAAUGCUCAAUAUCAUGUCACUAGGAAAAUGCAAACUAAAACCACUAUGACAUAUCCCCACUAAAGCUGGUAAAACCAGAGACUGACCGUACCAAGUAUUAGCAGGGAUGCACAGCAGCAGGGACUCGGGGUGUUGCUGCUGAGAAUGUGAGGGACAGCUUACUUGAAAACGUCUGGUGGUUCCCUCAAAGACACCCUCGCUCUACAACCUAGCAACCCUGUUCCUGGGUACUUACCAAGAGGUUUAAAUGGGACCACUUGUCCACACCGAGACUUGUCCAUGCAGGCUCAUCACAGAUCACUCAGAACAGAGAAAAACUGGUGGAUGGAUUGAGAAUGAAACGCCUCCCAGCAUCUAAUGAUUCACGCAGCAACGUGGGGGCAGCACAAGGGCAGCCGGCCAGGAGCUAACCCAACUGGGAGACCUCAGAGAGGGCGAUGCAGCCAUGAGUGUUGGGCGGCAAAGGACUUCUCUCAACCUUCUUGUUAUGGGGAUUUCUCAAUAAGCCUGCCCCAGGAGAGGACAGCUGUGACUGGACCUGGCCUGGGCUGGGCUGGGGCACCAGGAUGGGGGCAGAGGGCCUCUCUGCUGCUGGCUUUCGACCUCAGUCCGUGUCCCUGCACCUCGGGGCGGGGCUUUCUCGUGGUCCUGCCUCUCCCAGGAGUAGGCUAUCUCCUCGCGUGCCUCCUCACAGGCAGAGGGCCUCUGCUCCUCCAGCCUCACCCUCCAGCCUCGGUCUCCAUCUGUGUUUUCUGCUGCUCCCUCAGUGACUCCAGGCUUUUGUUCUUUAAAGGAGAGCUUUGAGGGCUUUGAGGAAGCUUUCUUGGCUGCCUGCCCUGCCCCGCCCCGUGAGCACGGUGCGGUCCCUGCGGAGGGCCCCGGGGGUCUCGGCACCCACGGCUCUUGCCCUCAGCUGCCCUGCUCCGUGCGUGCCUGCCGCGCUUCACUAGAAGUCUCAGCUCACCUCCUGCCCAGCUCUGCCCCAUGACCCACUCUCCUGCCCUCCUUGGAGGCCUGUCUGUCUUAGAUCUCAGGCAGCUCCUUG
ensembl:lncRNA